rnacentral:misc_RNA from 1 species
UGUAAGCUUUAUAAAUCUUAUG